GCCAGGCGUGGUGGCGCAUGCCUGUAAUCCCAGCUACUCGGGAGGCUGAGGCAGGAGAAUCGCUUAAACCCAGGAGGCCGAGACUGCGGUGAGCUGAGAUCGUGCCACUGCACUCCAGCCUGGGUAACAAGAGCGAAACUCAGUCUCCA
ensembl:misc_RNA Metazoa_SRP Metazoan signal recognition particle RNA